GCUCUUAUGAAGUUAGCGGCGGACGGGUGAGUAACACGUGGGUAACCUGCCCAUAAGACUGGGAUAACUCCGGGAAACCGGGGCUAAUACCGGAUAACAUUUUGAACCGCAUGGUUCGAAAUUGAAAGGCGGCUUCGGCUGUCACUUAUGGAUGGACCCGCGUCGCAUUAGCUAGUUGGUGAGGUAACGGCUCACCAAGGCAACGAUGCGUAGCCGACCUGAGAGGGUGAUCGGCCACACUGGGACUGAGACACGGCCCAGACUCCUACGGGAGGCAGCAGUAGGGAAUCUUCCGCAAUGGACGAAAGUCUGACGGAGCAACGCCGCGUGAGUGAUGAAGGCUUUCGGGUCGUAAAACUCUGUUGUUAGGGAAGAACAAGUGCUAGUUGAAUAAGCUGGCACCUUGACGGUACC
rnacentral:rRNA from 1 species